UACGGGGGGCAGCAGUGGGGAAUAUUGCACAAUGGGCGAAAGCUGAUGCAGCGACGCCGCGUGAGGGAUGACGGCCUUCGGGUUGUAAACCUCUUUCAGCAGGGAAGAAGCGCGAGUGACGGUACCUGCAGAAGAAGCGCCGGCUAACUACGUGCCAGCAGCCGCGGUAA
rnacentral:rRNA from 1 species